UGAAGAAUUCCCAUUUAGUUUCUUUUCGCCACUCUCCAAACAUCUAUGCCCUCAGCUCAUGGAUUUCUGACAGAGGUAUUAUGGAGGAAUGAACGUCCAGAAAGAAAGAGUAGCGAUAUUUUCGGCAUUUUAGUAUCGUUACAGCGGAAGUUGGACUUCCGCGGAAGGAUUUAAAGAAAACCAGCUUUUAACCUGGUACUUCAACAGCUGAUGAAAAUGUCUUUUUUGUGGAUUAAUGGCCAGUACCAAUUGGGACCACUCACUCAGGCCUCAAAGGCUGCCACUCGGUUAAGCCACGACACGAUGAUGAAUCCGCAAGCUAGGAAUGAGAAUAACCCAUGCCAGUACAUGGCAGCGAACAAAGGAGUCCAACAACCACUAAGAGCCAAUUACAACCCUCAUAAUGGAGGUAACUCAAACAAACAACCGUCAAAUUCGCAGGCCAUAUCAGUCCCUCAUCAGUCAGUGUCACGUCAGUUGUCAGACAGGGGGUAUAGUGACUUUCUGAUUAGGUUGUUAACUGAAGAUCAGCAACCCUCAAAUAAUGCUGAAAGGGGAAAUCCUGGUUUGCCGGUCUCUAAUGGAUUUCAACAAGCUUAUCAUGAGAACUAUGCUUGGCCCAACACAAUGAAAGCAAAAAAAACAUACUCUCAGCAAGAUGUGUCUUCGAUUUGGAACCAGUCAGCUAAAGUUCAUGGGAAUCAACCAGAAAAGGACACAGGAUGUUAAUGUUGUAGCUGAUCUCCAACAGAAUAACUUGUAUCAUAUGUAUAAAGGAGUGUCGACUAUUCCUGUUUCACAACACAACACAACAGCUACCCCGGCUGAGAAUGUAGAGGUGGUUGUCACAGAUGCGGUGCACAACACAACCCCCCCUUAUAACCAUAAUCCCAGGCCAAAUGGCACUCAGCAUGGUUUUCCCUCUUCAAUUCCCCCUCCAAGUUAUAAGGCAGCCAUGCAUCAGUCUUACAGAAACAACAGCAUUCAACAAAUUCACGCUCAGGUUUACAGAAUAUGCAAGUUUCCUGCAGGAGUCAAAAUGCUCAACAAUACUCAACACAUUACAAUGGUGCAGAGGCAACCAUUAACACAAAUUCAUAUAGCAGGCAGCAUGAAACCAGCCUUCAACAUUCUGCUCUUACACAACAGGAAAUGCACGAAACAAAUCAAAUCGCCAGAAUUGAGGAAUACCUACGUAGCACGGUUCCUGUUGACUCAGACGGUCGUCCAGUGAAUUCAAGUUUCUCUAAUGGAGGAAAGCAGUCUGUCAACUCAAAUGCCUCCAUGUCUUUGCCAGUCAAUUCUGGACAAUCUUUGCCUACAACCAACCACAGUUUUAUGCCACCAAACCACAACCCAGAUGUGCCACUUCAGCAAAGCACUGCACCAAAUCUAUUUUUUGCACAAGAUGGAAGUGGAAAUGGAAGUAAAGCAGCCUAUGCCCUUUUCUCCCUGAACAAUUUUGUGUCUUUAAGAGAUGCAGCUCUUCUGAAGCAGUUGCCUGAAGAUGUUUCUUCACAGAGAAUUGAGACUCAAUCAUCUGCAGCAAAUAAUCAUGAAUGGGUUGAAAUAAUCUCGUCAGUCAAGGCAAAUGCCAGCUCCAUUCACUCUUCACCUGGUUGCACGAGAGCUGUUGCUGUUGUGCAGCCAUUGUUGCAGGAAAGCUACCAGGAUGCCAGCAAGCAGACCUGUUCGACCACCGUCAAUCAAUUAUCUGCAGAAAAAUCUGCAAUCUCGCAUUCAUCUGCAAACAACGCUGGUACCUUUGAGUCAGAUUUAGUUUCAGCUGAGACUCAUGACUUGUCUGAAAAACAGUUGUGUGCUGAUGACAUAGUAUCUGAAGUGCCUUUUAACAUGCAAAGAGAGCAGCCAUUUGUACUUAAUGUGGAAACAUCUAUAACCUCCAAAGUGCCUGUAAGCCAAAGCAGUGAAAAGGACCAAAGUGAGAGGCCAACAGAUCCAAAAAAGGUACUUGACCUCUCCUCCAUCCCAACAAUUCCAUGGACACUCGAUGCAUUAACUAAAGAAGUACAAAAAAGAGAAAAAGCACGGAUAGAGUUAAAUGUUGCAUACUUAAACUCUGACAACAAAUGGCCAAAUACAGUGUUUGGGGAUGUCAACGUUAAAGAUAUGGCAACUUUGUUCAAGAGGUACAGGGAUUUAAACUAUGACAUUCAUGAAUUAUAUAACAAACAUGUAACGCCAGACUCUGUCAUACUAUUACAAGUAGAGCAAUGCUUUAGUGAGCAACUCAAAAGCUUCCAUGUCCUCAAAGAUAAUGAAGUUUAUUCAGAACCACCCUACACAUCAUCAUGGUUGAAUGUUAAUGAGCAGCUAGAUGAGAUUGACGAAGAGUUUGACUUCCCACCGUCUUUGAAGCAUCGUUUUGAGAGCCAGCCAGAUCAGGUCCAAACAGACAACAGCCUUCCUGAAAUAAUUGAUUUGGCUGAGGAAAAGCAAGACUCAGCUGUGGAUGCGGAUUCAACAGGUACGGCUUCUCCUGAUGGAACAGAAAUUGCCGACCCCAGUGACUCGCGUUAUGCCUUUAAAAUCCAAGUUUUAUCUCAAGCAGAGGCCAAAGUCAUCUUUGAGCAAAUACAAGGCAAGCUGACAACAAGUACGGACACACACUAUCACCAGAAGAGAGUCACAAAAAGCCCUGUGGAGGGAGAACUGCCUAAGGAUACAGUUUCCACAGUGAGUAACACAGUACUGGGGAACAAGUCUGUCUCUUCAGUAGACCAGGUUUGCUGCGUUGUAAGGUGUAUGGAACAAAUCUCGGGGUCAAAUCCUGCUUUUUUUCGUAAAUGCGAUUGCAAGAACCCGCAAAAUCAUGAGGAUAUAUCACACAAAACCCUCGAUAUGGAAGAGAUUGCAGUACAUCAGGAAGAUAAAAUGUGUGCGUUCAGGUCUGAUAGCAAAUUCCACUCUGUGGCAGAAGGAAUGAAGCUAGCUGAGGGCGACAAGAAUGUAGACAAUCAGCUUGAGACAGUUGGUUUGCUUGAGAUAUGCACUGAACUUGACAUCGCCAUUGACUUAACUGAAACUAAUGACAAAGCUCACUGUUAUUCUGACAACAAACCAAAUCAUCUCCCCAGCAGUGACAGGGAAGUUGCCAGCCCAAUGUCUAACCUUGAAAAAAAUUGUGAACAAGCUCAGCUGAAAUCUACAAAUGUGGCUAAGUUAUCAUUGGAAACUGAAGACAGUCAAACUCAAGCUGCGAUCAGUUCCGCACAGACAACUUGUACUGAUAAACAUGAUGUUGUAGGAAAGAGGAAACUUAUUUUUUAUCCAUUCUUCCAGAAAUCAAAGAAACGCAAAUCCCUUGUUGAAUCUAAGCGUGUCCUUGAGGGUGCUUCCAAUCAGAAGGUUUUGGUCUGUGCAACUGAGAGUGAACCAUCAGCCUCUAACGCUCGAACUGUUGAGCUGGUACUGUUUGGCUCAUCAGCACAAACCAAGUGUGUUUUGAUUGGCAGCAGAGAGAGACACAUUUUACCUGCCCAAGCUGUUUUUGCUGCACUACAAAAGCCUCCGAUGUUUCUCACAGUUAAACUCAGUCCCUUGAAGAGAAAGUCUGAAAGUGAAACUGCCUGGGCCAAGAAACAUUCAGACAAACAAAGGGAUUCUGAAAAAUCAAUGACAGCUUUCCCACGAACAAAAAGGAGGAACAGACACAAACUCGAAACACAGAAGUGUACUUUUGCCCCUGCAUCCGGGCAAAGUCUGAAGAAAGCUAAAAAGGUUGACCCCGCCAACACUGAGGAGAUUCCCUCUGAAACUGGGAUAUUGAGUGGAAAAACUAGGCCCUGCCUGAGUCUGAAGAAGAGGAGAUCCCACUCUAAAAAAAACAAACGUGGAAGGGAGAAGAAACGCACCGUCACAUUCUCCCUGCCUGCAGAUCAAGAGAGAAGUAAGGCUGAAAUUGAGAGCAAGGCAGUCAUGCCUCUCCAGAAGAAAGAUGUCCUGAAGUUCAGUGUCUUACCCAAAACCUUCAACUUCAAAGACACAUCCAAUGGCAGAAAGGAACAUAAUGAUCCUGUUCCAGAAAUUUCUGACCUCGUUGAAGAACAGCGCAAGAGCCAAAGCCAGACUAUCAAGACGGCAAUGGGUCCAUGGUAUCCAAAUCCAGAAAAUACGUUUAUGUCCAUGCCUCUGACCCCCACGACCGACGGCCUCUUCCAUGAGUUUCAAAGGAAAUACAAGGACAAGAUGCAGCCAUCCGUUGAUAAAUAACUUGACAGGAAGAAAACACGAUUUUUAAGUCAAGGAUUUUCUUAUGUCUGGGAAAUUCUUCGUGAAUUAAAUCUCUUGCCAAGACUUCAAGAAAUGAUGUCUUUUGUUUUUGUACUGCAUAUUUAAAGAAAUAUUAAGGAAAUUGAAGUUUUCAGUUUUGUAUAAAUGUGUUCCAAAAAAUCUGUCCAUUAUGCUAUGUGUCAAUAUGUGUCACAUCUGUUCUCAUUAGUUCACAUGUAGAAUUGUCAUUUGUUUACAUUGCUCUGAAAGCUAACAGGUUAUCCACUCUAAGUCUGAUAAACAUUUUAUAUGCAGAACUUUACUUUUUGACAUUCUGACAUUUUUAUAUUUUCAUACUUUUCUACUUCAACAAUAUUUUUCUGCUUUGUUUAUAUCUUACAAAUAUAUAUUUUUUAAUGAAAAAGAAGAAUCACAAAUAAACAAAAUCACUGAGAAUAAA